ACUGUUGCCGGCUUUCUCCAUUGGCAUCCUGUUUUGUUCCUAGUUCUCAUACCUGACCUUGCACGUAACAAGGUUGCUUAACCAGCUGCACAGUGUCUGCAUGGCUUUUCUCAGUCAGCCAGUCAUCAGUAAAUCUCUCCACACUCCAGUGCCUGCUGGAUUUGCAGGUGCUUCUCAAUUGCAGGGAUGGGUUCCUGCCUCCUGGGUGUCCUUGCUUCUUCCCUGGGGGUGGUUUUCAGGCUGUUCAUCUGAUGGCUGGGUAGAUCCAUGCCCGGUAGCUACCCUUUCCUCCUCCUUGGCAUGACCUGGAGGGCUUUCCGUCAUCCAGAGAGAUGCUUGUUCUGGCUAGCAGCCCCAGACUGCUUUGGGGUAGGUAGCGGAGAAGUUGCAUCUCUCGUGGACGUAGCAGCAUGCCCAGUAGCUACCCUGUCCUCCUCCCGGGCAUGGAUGCUCGACUUUUGUUCUUGUCCGGUGUCAGCUGUCAUGCUGGACAGCAGGCCUGGACUCCUCCAGGCUGGCUGCCCGACCUUUCUUUUGGCGUUGGCAGCUCGGUCUGUUCCUGGUGGGUUCUCUUGCUUCCCCGUGGCCGGGAUUUCUUUUCUUUUUCUGUCCCCGGACGCAGCUGCAGUCAUGUCUUCUGUCCCGUUUUCCACACAAGAGGUAAUCCUGAAUGUGUUCUGUUGGAAUCCUUACUGCUGUUCCCAGUGGUCAGUGUUGUUUGCUAGAUGUUGUGUGGCCUUUUGUCUUUCUCUUGCAGGAUCUGAAAUGUCCGAGCGAGACUCCAGCGUAGCCCAUGUUGCCAUUUCAGCAAGAUGUUUCCCCUCCUGCCGAGGUGCUGUGGCAGCCAGGGACCGACCUGUUCCUCAGCAUGUGCUGCCUCGUGCAGGCCUUCUGGGUCAGGUGGCAAAAUCGUCAGCAGCCAGCUGUGAGUUCUCCCGGGCUGUUGCUGCCAGGCGUUUCUUUGUGUUGGGGUAGGUCCCAAUGGAUCCUCCCCGGUUGGCUUUUUCACCUGCUUUGUUUUGAAUGUGGCUUUUCAGGAGGCAGUUGUGCGUGCUAUUUCCGCGGAAUGCUUCAAGUUUUCUUUCUUUCGUUCCUCCUUGGCUGUGCUUUGCUAUGCUGCGCCAAGCUGUCCGAUGGGCCUUUUCUCUCUGUGUUGUUUUCCUUUGCUUUGUAGCCUUUUUCUUUCCUAUCUUUCUAAUUGGUUUUGCCUUGCCUUGCUUUGCUUUACUGUGUUCCUUUCCUUUCUUUGCAUUUGCAGAUGACUUUUCUCUGCUGCUCCUCUGGCUCGGCUUUUGCAUUGUUUGUUUUUCAUUGCUGUUGCUUCUUUACCGCGCGGUUCCUUUCUUUGCAUGCCUUGCAUGCCUUGCUUGGUGGAUUCCUUUUCUCUUCCUUUGAAAUGGAUUUUCUUUGCUUUCCAUGGCUUUCCUCUCCUUUUCCUUUCUUUUCACGCUCCUUUUCCCUCCCUUCCUUUCGCUUCCUUGGCGCCAUGCCCUUCCCUUUCCUUUGAGCUUGCCUUCGCUUCCCUGACGUGAUCCCUCUUGAUUGUUUCUCUCUCUUUUAUUUUCCUACGUGUUUAACCCAAGCCUCGUCUCUGCGCUUUCCUCCAGUGCCUGCUGGAUUUGCAGGUGUUUCUCAAUUGCAGGGAUGGGUUCCUGCCUCCUGGGUGUCCUUGCUUCUUCCCUGGGGGUGGUUUUCAGGCUGUUCAUCUGAUGGCUGGGUAGAUCCAUGCCCGGUAGCUACCCUUUCCUCCUCCUUGGCAUGACCUGGAGGGCUUUCCGUCAUCCAGAGAGAUGCUUGUUCUGGCUAGCAGCCCCGGACUGCUUUGGGGUAGGUAGCGGAGAAGUUGCAUCUCUCGUGGACGUAGCAGCAUGCCCAGUAGCUACCCUGUCCUCCUCCCGGGCAUGGAUGCUCGACUUUUGUUCUUGUCCGGUGUCAGCUGUCAUGCUGGACAGCAGGCCUGGACUCCUCCAGGCUGGCUGCCCGACCUUUCUUUUGGCGUUGGCAGCUCGGUCUGUUCCUGGUGGGUUCUCUUGCUUCCCCGUGGCCGGGAUUUCUUUUCUUUUUCUGUCCCCGGACGCAGCUGCAGUCAUGUCUUCUGUCCCGUUUCCCACACAAGAGGUAAUCCUGAAUGUGUUCUGUUGGAAUCCUUACUGCUGUUCCCAGUGGUCAGUGUUGUUUGCUAGAUGUUGUGUGGCCUUUUGUCUUUCUCUUGCAGGAUCUGAAAUGUCCGAGCGAGACUCCAGCGUAGCCCAUGUUGCCAUUUCAGCAAGAUGUUUCCCCUCCUGCCGAGGUGCUGUGGCAGCCAGGGACCGACCUGUUCCUCAGCAUGUGCUGCCUCGUGCAGGCCUUCUGGGUCAGGUGGCAAAGUCGUCAGCAGCCAGCUGUGAGUUCUCCCGGGCUGUUGCUGCCAGGCGUUUCUUUGUGUUGGGGUAGGUCCCAAUGGAUCCUCCCCGGUUGGCUUUUUCACCUGCUUUGUUUUGCAUUUGGCUUUUCAGGAGGCAGUUGUGCGUGCUAUUUCCGCGGAAUGCUUCAAGUUUUCUUUCUUUCGUUCCUCUUUGGCUGUGCUUUGCUAUGCUGCGCCAAGCUGUCCGAUGGGCCUUUUCUCUCUGUGUUGUUUUCCUUUGCUUUGUAGCCUUUUUCUUUCCUAUCUUUCUAAUUGGUUUUGCCUUGCCUUGCUUUGCUUUACUGUGUUCCUUUUCUUUCCUUUCUUUGCAUUUGCAGAUGACUUUUCUCUGCUGCUCCUCUGGCUCGGCUUUUGCAUUGUUUGUUUUUCAUUGCUGUUGCUUCUUUACCGCGCGGUUCCUUUCUUUGCAUGCCUUGCAUGCCUUGCUUGGUGGAUUCCUUUUCUCUUCCUUUGAAAUGGAUUUUCUUUGCUUUCCAUGGCUUUCCUCUCCUUUUCCUUUCUUUUCACGCUCCUUUUCCCUCCCUUCCUUUCGCUUCCUUGGCGCCAUGCCCUUCCCUUUCCUUUGAGCUUGCCUUCGCUUCCCUGACGUGAUCCCUCUUGAUUGUUUCUCUCUCUUUUAUUUUCCUACGUGUUUAACCCAAGCCUCGUCUCUGCGCUUUCCUCCAGUGCCUGCUGGAUUUGCAGGUGUUUCUCAAUUGCAGGGAUGGGUUCCUGCCUCCUGGGUGUCCUUGCUUCUUCCCUGGGGGUGGUUUUCAGGCUGUUCAUCUGAUGGCUGGGUAGAUCCAUGCCCGGUAGCUACCCUUUCCUCCUCCUUGGCAUGACCUGGAGGGCUUUCCGUCAUCCAGAGAGAUGCUUGUUCUGGCUAGCAGCCCCGGACUGCUUUGGGGUAGGUAGCGGAGAAGUUGCAUCUCUCGUGGACGUAGCAGCAUGCCCAGUAGCUACCCUGUCCUCCUCCCGGGCAUGGAUGCUCGACUUUUGUUCUUGUCCGGUGUCAGCUGUCAUGCUGGACAGCAGGCCUGGACUCCUCCAGGCUGGCUGCCCGACCUUUCUUUUGGCGUUGGCAGCUCGGUCUGUUCCUGGUGGGUUCUCUUGCUUCCCCGUGGCCGGGAUUUCUUUUCUUUUUCUGUCCCCGGACGCAGCUGCAGUCAUGUCUUCUGUCCCGUUUCCCACACAAGAGGUAAUCCUGAAUGUGUUCUGUUGGAAUCCUUACUGCUGUUCCCAGUGGUCAGUGUUGUUUGCUAGAUGUUGUGUGGCCUUUUGUCUUUCUCUUGCAGGAUCUGAAAUGUCCGAGCGAGACUCCAGCGUAGCCCAUGUUGCCAUUUCAGCAAGAUGUUUCCCCUCCUGCCGAGGUGCUGUGGCAGCCAGGGACCGACCUGUUCCUCAGCAUGUGCUGCCUCGUGCAGGCCUUCUGGGUCAGGUGGCAAAAUCGUCAGCAGCCAGCUGAUCUGAAAUGUCCGAGCGAGACUCCAGCGUAGCCCAUGUUGCCAUUUCAGCAAGAUGUUUCCCCUCCUGCCGAGGUGCUGUGGCAGCCAGGGACCGACCUGUUCCUCAGCAUGUGCUGCCUCGUGCAGGCCUUCUGGGUCAGGUGGCAAAAUCGUCAGCAGCCAGCUGUGAGUUCUCCCGGGCUGUUGCUGCCAGGCGUUUCUUUGUGUUGGGGUAGGUCCCAAUGGAUCCUCCCCGGUUGGCUUUUUCACCUGCUUUGUUUUGCAUUUGGCUUUUCAGGAGGCAGUUGUGCGUGCUAUUUCCGCGGAAUGCUUCAAGUUUUCUUUCUUUCAUUCCUCCUUGGCUGUGCUUUGCUAUGCUGCGCCAAGCUGUCCGAUGGGCCUUUUCUCUCUGUGUUGUUUUCCUUUGCUUUGUAGCCUUUUUCUUUCCUAUCUUUCUAAUUGGUUUUGCCUUGCCUUGCUUUGCUUUACUGUGUUCCUUUCCUUUCUUUGCAUUUGCAGAUGACUUUUCUCUGCUGCUCCUCUGGCUCGGCUUUUGCAUUGUUUGUUUUUCAUUGCUGUUGCUUCUUUACCGCGCGGUUCCUUUCUUUGCAUGCCUUGCAUGCCUUGCUUGGUGGAUUCCUUUUCUCUUCCUUUGAAAUGGAUUUUCUUUGCUUUCCAUGGCUUUCCUCUCCUUUUCCUUUCUUUUCACGCUCCUUUUCCCUCCCUUCCUUUCGCUUCCUUGGCGCCAUGCCCUUCCCUUUCCUUUGAGCUUGCCUUCGCUUCCCUGACGUGAUCCCUCUUGAUUGUUUCUCUCUCUUUUAUUUUCCUACGUGUUUAACCCAAGCCUCGUCUCUGCGCUUUCCUCCAGUGCCUGCUGGAUUUGCAGGUGUUUCUCAAUUGCAGGGAUGGGUUCCUGCCUCCUGGGUGUCCUUGCUUCUUCCCUGGGGGUGGUUUUCAGGCUGUUCAUCUGAUGGCUGGGUAGAUCCAUGCCCGGUAGCUACCCUUUCCUCCUCCUUGGCAUGACCUGGAGGGCUUUCCAUCAUCCAGAGAGAUGCUUGUUCUGGCUAGCAGCCCCGGACUGCUUUGGGGUAGGUAGCGGAGAAGUUGCAUCUCUCGUGGACGUAGCAGCAUGCCCAGUAGCUACCCUGUCCUCCUCCCGGGCAUGGAUGCUCGACUUUUGUUCUUGUCCGGUGUUUGCUGUCAUGCUGGACAGCAGGCCUGGACUCCUCCAGGCUGGCUGCCCGACCUUUCUUUUGGCGUUGGCAGCUCGGUCUGUUCCUGGUGGGUUCUCUUGCUUCCCCGUGGCCGGGAUUUCUUUUCUUUUUCUGUCCCCGGACGCAGCUGCAGUCAUGUCUUCUGUCCCGUUUCCCACACAAGAGGUAAUCCUGAAUGUGUUCUGUUGGAAUCCUUACUGCUGUUCCCAGUGGUCAGUGUUGUUUGCUAGAUGUUGUGUGGCCUUUUGUCUUUCUCUUGCAGGAUCUGAAAUGUCCGAGCGAGACUCCAGCGUAGCCCAUGUUGCCAUUUCAGCAAGAUGUUUCCCCUCCUGCCGAGGUGCUGUGGCAGCCAGGGACCGACCUGUUCCUCAGCAUGUGCUGCCUCGUGCAGGCCUUCUGGGUCAGGUGGCAAAGUCGUCAGCAGCCAGCUGUGAGUUCUCCCGGGCUGUUGCUGCCAGGCGUUUCUUUGUGUUGGGGUAGGUCCCAAUGGAUCCUCCCCGGUUGGCUUUUUCACCUGCUUUGUUUUGAAUGUGGCUUUUCAGGAGGCAGUUGUGCGUGCUAUUUCCGCGGAAUGCUUCAAGUUUUCUUUCUUUCAUUCCUCUUUGGCUGUGCUUUGCUAUGCUGCGCCAAGCUGUCCGAUGGGCCUUUUCUCUCUGUGUUGUUUUCCUUUGCUUUGUAGCCUUUUUCUUUCCUAUCUUUCUAAUUGGUUUUGCCUUGCCUUGCUUUGCUUUACUGUGUUCCUUUCCUUUCUUUGCAUUUGCAGAUGACUUUUCUCUGCUGCUCCUCUGGCUCGGCUUUUGCAUUGUUUGUUUUUCAUUGCUGUUGCUUCUUUACCGCGCGGUUCCUUUCUUUGCAUGCCUUGCAUGCCUUGCUUGGUGGAUUCCUUUUCUCUUCCUUUGAAAUGGAUUUUCUUUGCUUUCCAUGGCUUUCCUCUCCUUUUCCUUUCUUUUCACGCUCCUUUUCCCUCCCUUCCUUUCGCUUCCUUGGCGCCAUGCCCUUCCCUUUCCUUUGAGCUUGCCUUCGCUUCCCUGACGUGAUCCCUCUUGAUUGUUUCUCUCUCUUUUAUUUUCCUACGUGUUUAACCCAAGCCUCGUCUCUGCGCUUUCCUCCAGUGCCUGCUGGAUUUGCAGGUGUUUCUCAAUUGCAGGGAUGGGUUCCUGCCUCCUGGGUGUCCUUGCUUCUUCCCUGGGGGUGGUCUUCAGGCUGUUCAUCUGAUGGCUGGGUAGAUCCAUGCCCGGUAGCUACCCUUUCCUCCUCCUUGGCAUGACCUGGAGGGCUUUCCGUCAUCCAGAGAGAUGCUUGUUCUGGCUAGCAGCCCCGGACUGCUUUGGGCUCGGUCUGUUCCUGGUGGGUUCUCUUGCUUCCCCGUGGCCGGGAUUUCUUUUCUUUUUCUGUCCCCGGACGCAGCUGCAGUCAUGUCUUCUGUCCCGUUUCCCACACAAGAGGUAAUCCUGAAUGUGUUCUGUUGGAAUCCUUACUGCUGUUCCCAGUGGUCAGUGUUGUUUGCUAGAUGUUGUGUGGCCUUUUGUCUUUCUCUUGCAGGAUCUGAAAUGUCCGAGCGAGACUCCAGCGUAGCCCAUGUUGCCAUUUCAGCAAGAUGUUUCCCCUCCUGCCGAGGUGCUGUGGCAGCCAGGGACCGACCUGUUCCUCAGCAUGUGCUGCCUCGUGCAGGCCUUCUGGGUCAGGUGGCAAAAUCGUCAGCAGCCAGCUGUGAGUUCUCCCGGGCUGUUGCUGCCAGGCGUUUCUUUGUGUUGGGGUAGGUCCCAAUGGAUCCUCCCCGGUUGGCUUUUUCACCUGCUUUGUUUUGCAUUUGGCUUUUCAGGAGGCAGUUGUGCGUGCUAUUUCCGCGGAAUGCUUCAAGUUUUCUUUCUUUCAUUCCUCCUUGGCUGUGCUUUGCUAUGCUGCGCCAAGCUGUCCGAUGGGCCUUUUCUCUCUGUGUUGUUUUCCUUUGCUUUGUAGCCUUUUUCUUUCCUAUCUUUCUAAUUGGUUUUGCCUUGCCUUGCUUUGCUUUGCUGUGUUCCUUUUCUUUCCUUUCUUUGCAUUUGCAGAUUACUUUUCUCUGCUGCUCCUCUGGCUCGGCUUUUGCAUUGUUUGUUCUUCAUUGCUGUUGCUUCUUUACUGCGCGGUUCCUUUCUUUGCAUGCCU